CUUGAUCUUUGUGCAGAGAGAGAGAGAGAGAGAGAGAGAGAGAUCUGCUGUCUGUGUUUACAUUUCGUGGUCGGUAGUUGACAUUUCGCUCGCUGUAGAUUUGCGUGUUUUUCAUGUAUUUUCCGGUCUCUAACGCCGCCAAUACAGUGGCGGCAGGCAGUGUGUGUGUGUGUGUGUGUGUGUGUGCGACAAAGAGAGACGGACAGAGAGAAGGGGGGAUGAACAUAAGGGCAGGAGGAGUAUUUUGGUCAGCACUGGUCAGUCUUGCCCCAUACACACACAUACACACACACACUAGUGACCAGUGUUUCCAUAUUCCCUGGAGCUUCCUCCUGCAUUAAACACCACCAAGCAUCAUCAAAGAGACACGACUGCUUAAUGACAGUGAUGGAAGCAGAAUGUUUUCCUCGGCAUUGGUCAGUCUUAACACACACACACACACACACACACACACACAGACACUAGUGACCAGUGCUUCCAUAUUCCCUGCAGCUUCCUCCUGCAUCAAACACCACCAAGCAUCACUAGAGAGACACGGCUACUUAAUGUAAUGUGAGUACAGCAAUGACUGCCUCGGUUAACAUCACCGCCUACACCAUUAACACUCAACCCUUCCUCCUCCCUCCAGUAGCGUCUUUCAGUUCUUCAUUAUUAUUCGUUAUUAGGGUACUUUUUGAGAUUAUCGAUUUAUAUUUUACUUAUGUUUAUAUCUGAGUCGCGAUAUAGCUUGAAAUUUAGUAAAAAAUAAUGAAGGAUCGUCAAAAUGACAUCUGCGGUAGACAUAGGUCGUCCCUACUCAGCCAUUAUUUGCUUUAUUUAUCACGUAUUGUAAGCCAAACAUGUCACAAAAUGUAGCCUCAGUUCGAAUUUUCAUGUCCGCCUGUGAGGUAUAUCGCCAUUGCCUGGCUUUAGUGUGAUAACAGAGUAAUUAAGGCAAAUUAGCGGCCGCCAUGUUUGAUCUCUACAGGCCCCAGCCUGCUCUUCGGUUCCAAUAUAUUUUCGUUUUCCUUAACUCUUUAAGUUCGGUUUCUAAGUAAUUUUUUAUGGUUUGUAUAAAUGUUUCGUUGCUUAUGAAGUGGUUUUGAGGCUUUUGUUAAGGAAAUGUGUUGUAUUUGCUGUUGUUUAUAACGUAACUAUAGGCCUGUUUUUGGGCUGAAUUUUACGGAACCCCAUUGUUGGCUUUUUUAUUCGAGGCUAUAAUGAAGUUCUUUAUACUUUAAAAAAUCGCUUGUGAUUUUUAAACCGGUUUGCCGUCCUGUUGAGUUAAAUAUGUGGACUUUAAAAUGAUUUGUGGUCCUGUUAAAAGUCGAAAUGUUGACAUUUUUUAUUUCCUUAUUUCCUUAUUUGAGCUUUUAAGUAACUCUAGGUUAUUUGAAAAAAUAGUUCAGAUUUUUUAAAGUGCUUUGCAUUGCUAUUAAGUUAAAAUGGGUGGACUUUUCAAUGUUUUUUAUUCGUGUUUAGGUUCCAACACUUUUUUUUACAGAUUUAUUUUUCAUUCGUUUACUUCUGGUUCUAGGUAAGUUUUAAUUGAUUGAAAAGAUAGUUCAUAUUUUUAAAGUGUUUUUAUUUCUGUUAAGUGAAAAAAUAGGUAGACUUUUCAAUGGUUUUAAUGGGGUCAAAUGUUCCAACGUUUUUUUCAUAAUUCAUAUUGAUAUUUCUUUCAUACUACUGAGGCUGGAGAUGUUAUAAUAUUAUGAAUAUUUAUUAAAGUAAUUAUCAAGUCAGAAUAUAUAAUGCAUUCCAACCUAGCUCCAUUUUUUCUAUGGGUCAAUUUUAAAAUGAAAUACGUUACGCACGUAUCCUGGCGUGACGUCACGACCUCAGGUGUGACGUCAUCAGGGGGCCAAGGGGGGUCUCUGCCACAGACCCUUAUCUUCAAUAUUUCGAGUAAUUUCUAGUAUUUUUGACGUUUUUCCGUGUGUUUCUUAACUCAGACAUGUAGAUAGUAGUUGUAGGAGGAAGAAAAAAGGAUAAAUAGGGAAGGAGGAGGAAAAAGAAAGGAGAAAUGAAGGAGGCAAAACAGGGAAAUCCUAAGACAACAAUAUUUAGCUUAGUUUUCUAUGCUGCCCUUUCUUUCUUUGUAAUAUUUUCUUUGCCUGAGAGUGUCAGACUUUUUAAUGUGUUUGGAUGCGUUUUUUAGGUGAUUGAGUGUGUUUGGCGUGUUUUGGGUGCAUUUUGGUUUGUUCGGGUUUGUUUUGUAGGUGUUUGAAUAUGUUCGUGGGUGUAUUUUUUGUGUGUUUGGAGGUGUUUUGAGUGUGUUCUGGUGGUUUUAGGGUAUUUUGGAAUGUUUUAGAUGAUCUUGGCUGCCCUUUAAAGUGAUUUUGGGUGUUUUGAGUGUGUUUUGGGGUGAGCCAGGGAGGCAGGAGGGAAUGGUUAGGUCAGGUUGUGGGCUGGUUAGGGAUUAUUUGGGUGUGGUUUGAGGUUAACUGAGGUAUUUUGAGACUGGUUAGGAUUUUUUAUGUGUGUAUUGGGGUGUUUUGUGUGUGUUUGCAUGUGUUUU